rnacentral:rRNA from 1 species
GCUAAAUAGUGGCGAGAGACCGAUAGCGAACAAGUAGCGUGAGCGAAAGAUGAAAAGAACUUUGAAAAGAGAGUUAAAGAGUGCCUGAAAUCGUUGAAAGGGAAGGGUUUGCGACGAGUGUUUGCUGGUGUCGUGGGGUUUGUCGUGUGGCUUGGGCCAUGCGGUGUGCCGCGCGCGUCGGUGCUGCGGGUGCGUUGUGCGGUGAUUGGGCGAGAGCGGCGCGGAGCGGGGCGAAAGCCGGCUCCGCGGGCAGCGGCCCCCGCGCGACGUCACAGAGGAGUCGCCGGUGGACGUUCUUCGGAGCGAUCUGCGGCGAGAGAACCUGCAGGAAAUGGUCGUAAACCGCCCGUCUUGAAACACGGACCAAGGAGUCU